rnacentral:rRNA from 1 species
GAUGAACGCUGGCGGCGUGCUUAACACAUGCAAGUCGAACGAAGCACUUUAUUUGAUUUCCUUCGGGAUUGAUUAUUUUGUGACUGAGUGGCGGACGGGUGAGUAACGCGUGGGUAACCUGCCUUGUACAGGGGGAUAACAGUUGGAAACGGCUGCUAAUACCGCAUAAGCGCACAGCAUCGCAUGAUGCAGUGUGAAAAACUCCGGUGGUAUAAGAUGGACCCGCGUUGGAUUAGCUAGUUGGUGAGGUAACGGCCCACCAAGGCGACGAUCCAUAGCCGACCUGAGAGGGUGACCGGCCACAUUGGGACUGAGACACGGCCCAAACUCCUACGGGAGGCAGCAGUGGGGAAUAUUGCACAAUGGGCGAAAGCCUGAUGCAGCGACGCCGCGUGAGCGAAGAAGUAUUUCGGUAUGUAAAGCUCUAUCAGCAGGGAAGAUAAUGACGGUACCUGACUAAGAAGCACCGGCUAAAUACGUGCCAGCAGCCGCGGUAAUACGUAUGGUGCAAGCGUUAUCCGGAUUUACUGGGUGUAAAGGGAGCGCAGGCGGUGCGGCAAGUCUGAUGUGAAAGCCCGGGGCUCAACCCCGGUACUGCAUUGGAAACUGUCGUACUAGAGUGUCGGAGGGGUAAGCGGAAUUCCUAGUGUAGCGGUGAAAUGCGUAGAUAUUAGGAGGAACACCAGUGGCGAAGGCGGCUUACUGGACGAUAACUGACGCUGAGGCUCGAAAGCGUGGGGAGCAAACAGGAUUAGAUACCCUGGUAGUCCACGCCGUAAACG